rnacentral:rRNA from 1 species
AUUGAACGCUGGCGGCAUGCUUUACACGUGCAAGUCGAACGGCAGCGCGGGCUUCGGCCUGGCGGCGAGUGGCGAACGGGUGAGUAAUGCAUCGGAACGUGCCCAGUAGUGGGGGAUAGCCCGGCGAAAGCCGGAUUAAUACCGCAUACGACCUGAGGGUGAAAGCGGGGGACCGAAAGGCCUCGCGCUAUUGGAGCGGCCGAUGUCGGAUUAGCUAGUUGGUGGGGUAAAGGCUUACCAAGGCGACGAUCCGUAGCUGGUCUGAGAGGACGACCAGCCACACUGGGACUGAGACACGGCCCAGACUCCUACGGGAGGCAGCAGUGGGGAAUUUUGGACAAAGGGGGCAACCCUGAUCCAGCCAUGCCGCGUGCGGGAAGAAGGCCUUCGGGUUGUAAACCGCUUUUGUUCGGGAAGAAAUCCUCUGGGCUAAUACCCCGGGGGGAUGACGGUACCGGAAGAAUAAGCACCGGCUAACUACGUG